rnacentral:rRNA from 1 species
UACAGAGGGGGCAAGCGUUAUUCGGAAUUAUUGGGCGUAAAGCGCGUGUAGGCGGCUAUGUAAGUCGGGCGUGAAAUCCCACGGCUCAACCGUGGAAGUGCACCCGAAACUGCGUAGCUAGAGUCCUGGAGAGGAAGGUGGAAUGCUUGGUGUAGAGGUGAAAUUCGUAGAUAUCAAGCGGAACACCGGUGGCGAAGGCGGCCUUCUGGACAGUGACUGACGCUGAGACGCGAAAGCGUGGGGAGCAAACAGG